rnacentral:lncRNA from 7 species
AAUCGUUCCAUGUCUGUCUGCAUUAACUAUUUGCACAGCUCAGGACAGGAGCUCUUGUCCGAGGAGUGGGGAAUCACCAAGGCUGUGAUUCUCUCUGUUUCAUUAAAGUAUUUUCUCAGGUAUUAAAGUAGCACUGGACUCAACUAAGAGGAGUGAUCAAACUGUCUACUAAUGAAGUUACUCUGACAGGAACUCCAGGAACCGGAAACUGAACUUCAGAAUCAUGAAGAGCACUGCUAGAUGAAGACAUGGGCUGGAUACAUGUCUACCACACUAGAAGAAACUGAAAGAAUACGAUCCCAUUUGACUCCAAAAGUCUUUCUAGGCUAAUUACCAGCUCACAGAGCAGAGAAAUUAAGGCAGAGAGGGAAUGUUCAUGAUGACAACCUUUACCCAUUAGCAAGCUUUGCAUUUUCCCAAGGCUGAAGACAGUUUAGCCCUGACAAAUCCAAUCAGUGAUAUGCAGGCGUAACCUCCAGAAAUAAGCUCACAUUUUUGGGAUCCACGGGGCAAAAGAUGGACUGCAGUUGCUUCAGUGACUGAUCACGAGCCCCCAUCACCCAAUCAGGUUUCCAGAUGAACGUUGAGUAGCAGCGAAAGGAAAAGGGAAGAAUGAUGAAGUGAGAAGAAGUUGGUCACAGGAGCUCGAUUACGGUGUUAGGAGGAGGUAGACUCGGCAGGGAUUGAAAUAACUAAAAAGAGAAAAAGAAAAGUGUUGGUUUUAUUAGAGCGAGUUUCAAGGUCUGUCUGUUUGUGCACAGUCCAAAUCUCAGGCGGCUCAGCUUAGGGUUUGUACCAUCAGGAGAACGGAAGAGCUGGCAAGCUGAGACACUACCAGUACUUUGUGGAAACCGACAUAUGAAUUUGUUCUACAAAUGUGCCAGGGACACACUGAUCCAACAGUUAGAUCACUUCCAGAAGACACGGAGUUAGAUCUCUGAGUUCACUUCCAAUUGCUGACUACUACUAUCCAAUAAAAGAAAAAUUCUGCGUAAAGUAAACAAGGAAAAUGGAGGAGAUUCUGCUGGAAGGACAGAAGGGACAGCAAGCAUGGAGAUUUAAGUCAGAGGAAGACCAACUGUCACUGCAGAGGGGAAAGGGCAUGAGAAUGAGCACUGCAAGAAAAAAAAAUCAUCAAAAAAUUCCUCCUUCUCUGGGAUGAAUACAGGGGAGUAAAUGUGUUCCUACAAAAAUUGAAUUAUGUAGUGAUUUUAAAUAUGGUGUGAGAAUGAAGGACAUAUGAGCUGCAACGAGAGAACCAAAGAGGAAUUAUGUGAUGUGUUCAGGCUGGGAGUGUGCCUCACAUGACAACAGGAAGAGAGGAAAGGUGGAGGAAAAAAAGAUCAGAAUCUACUCUAUUCUGAGCCAUUAAUGUCAGCCAUGUUGAUGUUUUGUAGCUAGUUAUAUUUGCUGAUGGUUCCCACGCACUCAUGACAUUCAACUUUGCAUCAUCCCCUAAAAACUGGAAAGAUGUCUCUCUGAGAAUGACCUAUAGCUUUGAUAUCACCAUAACUAAUUUCCUUUUCCUAAAGUAAUGGUGCCUACUCUUGAGGAGCAGAAUGCUGUGAGCUUUUAUUUCCAGUCUGAGGAUAGUUCUGUGAUAGGUGGAAUAAUGCCAGAACCUACUUUUCAUUAGAUUGUAUGAUCUGACUUUAUCUUGCACGCUCUGUGUGGUUUGAGUGAAUAAAUCACACCAGAAUUUAUGGGG